CCUACGGGAGGCUGCAGUGAGGAAUAUUGGUCAAUGGACGAGAGUCUGAACCAGUCAAGUAGCGUGAAGGAUGACUGCCCUAUGGGUUGUAAACUUCUUUUAUAAAGGAAUAAAACGAGGCACGUGUGCCUUUUUGCAUGUACUUUAUGAAUAAGGAUCGGCUAACUCCGUGCCAGCAGCCGCGGUAAUACGGAGGAUCCGAGCGUUAUCCGGAUUUAUUGGGUUUAAAGGGAGCGUAGAUGGGUUGUUAAGUCAGUUGUGAAAGUUUGCGGCUCAACCGUAAAAUUGCAAUUGAUACUGGCAGUCGUGAGUACAGUUGAGGUAGGCGGAAUUCGUGGUGUAGCGGUGAAAUGCUUAGAUAUCACGAAGAACCCCGAUUGCGAAGGCAGCUUACUAAACUGUGACUGACAUUGAUGCUCGAAAGUGUGGGUAUCAAACAGGAUUAGAUACCCCUGUAGUC
rnacentral:rRNA from 1 species